AUUGAACGCUGGCGGCAGGCCUAACACAUGCAAGUCGAACGGUAGCACAGAGAGCUUGCUCUCGGGUGACGAGUGGCGGACGGGUGAGUAAUGUCUGGGAAACUGCCCGAUGGAGGGGGAUAACUACUGGAAACGGUAGCUAAUACCGCAUAACGUCGCAAGACCAAAGUGGGGGACCUUCGGGCCUCACACCAUCGGAUGUGCCCAGAUGGGAUUAGCUAGUAGGUGGGGUAAUGGCUCACCUAGGCGAAGAUCCCUAGCUGGUCUGAGAGGAGGACCAGCCACAGUGGAACUGGGACACGGUCCAGAAUCCUACGGGAGGCAGCAGUGGGGAAUAUUGCAAAAAGGGCGCAAGCCUGAUGCAGCCAUGCCGCGUGUAUGAAGAAGGCCUUCGGGUUGUAAAGUACUUUCAGCGGGGAGGAAGGCGGUGAAGUUAAUAGCUUCACCGAUUGACGUUACCCGCAGAAGAAGCACCGGCUAACUCCGUGCCAGCCGCCGCUGUAA
rnacentral:rRNA from 1 species